rnacentral:rRNA from 1 species
UAAGACCUCGCGUUAUUGGAGCGGCCGAUAUCUGAUUAGCUAGUUGGUGGGGUAAAAGCCUACCAAGGCGACGAUCAGUAGCUGGUCUGAGAGGACGACCAGCCACACUGGGACUGAGACACGGCCCAGACUCCUACGGGAGGCAGCAGUGGGGAAUUUUGGACAAUGGGCGAAAGCCUGAUCCAGCCAUGCCGCGUGAGUGAAGAAGGCCUUCGGGUUGUAAAGCUCUUUCGCAAGGAAAGAAAUCCUAUCCACUAAUACUGGGUGGGGAUGACGGUACCUUGAUAAGAAGCACCGGCUAACUACGUGCCAGCAGCCGCGGUAAUACGUAGGGUGCGAGCGUUAAUCGGAAUUACUGGGCGUAAAGCGAGCGCAGGCGGUUUUGUAAGUCAGAUGUGAAAUCCCCGGGCUCAACCUGGGAACU